rnacentral:rRNA from 1 species
GACGAACGCUGGCGGCGUGCUUAACACAUGCAAGUCGAACGGAAGGGCCCUGCUUUUGUGGGGUGCUCGAGUGGCGAACGGGUGAGUAACACGUGAGUAACCUGCCCUUGACUUUGGGAUAACUUCAGGAAACUGGGGCUAAUACCGGAUAGGAGCUCCUGCUGCAUGGUGGGGGUUGGAAAGUUUCGGCGGUUGGGGAUGGACUCGCGGCUUAUCAGCUUGUUGGUGGGGUAGUGGCUUACCAAGGCUUUGACGGGUAGCCGGCCUGAGAGGGUGACCGGCCACAUUGGGACUGAGAUACGGCCCAGACUCCUACGGGAGGCAGCAGUGGGGAAUAUUGCACAAUGGGCGGAAGCCUGAUGCAGCAACGCCGCGUGCGGGAUGACGGCCUUCGGGUUGUAAACCGCUUUCGCCUGAGACGAAGCGUGAGUGACGGUAAUGGGUAAAGAAGCACCGGCUAACUACGUG